CAGUCACUGAGAUGUUGAUGCCUAAGAAGAACCAGAUUGCUAUUUAUGAACUCCUUUUUAAGGAGGGAGUCAUGGUGGCCAAGAAGGAUGCCCACAUGCCCAAGCACCCGGAACUGGCAGACAAGAACAUGCCCGACCUUCAUGUCAUGAAGGCCAUGCAGUCUCUCAAGUCCCAAGGCUAUGUGAGGGAACAGUUUCCCUGGUAUCUUACCAAGAAGGGUAUCCAGUAUCUCCAUGACUACCUUCAUCUACCCGCAGAGAUUGUGCCUGUCACCCUGCGCCACAGCCAUCCAGAGACAGGCAGGCCUCUGCCUGAAGGUCUGGAGGGUGAGCAGCCCACAGACUCACAAGAGAGGAAGCCGACAGAGAUACCUACAGGUGGAGUGCUGUGCGGCCUGGUGCCGACAAGAAAGCCGAGGCUGGGGCUGGGUCAGCAACCGAAUUCCAGUUUAGAGGCGGAUUUGGUCAUGGUCGUGGUGAGCCACCUCAGUAAAACUGGAGAAGAUUAUUUUGCAUUGAAUAAACUUACAGCCAAAAAAACUUUA